rnacentral:rRNA from 1 species
GGCAUUGCUCGCUUACACAUGCAGUCGAGGGGCAGCAUUUUAGUUUGCUUGCAAACUGAAGAUGGCGACCGGCGCACGGGUGAGUAACACGUAUCCAACCUGCCGAUAACUCCGGAAUAGCCUUUCGAAAGAAAGAUUAAUACCGGAUAGCAUACGAAUAUCGCAUGAUAUUUUUAUUAAAGAAUUUCGGUUAUCGAUGGGGAUGCGUUCCAUUAGUUUGUUGGCGGGGUAACGGCCCACCAAGACUACGAUGGAUAGGGGUUCUGAGAGGAAGGUCCCCCACAUUGGAACUGAGACACGGUCCAAACUCCUACGGGAGGCAGCAGUGAGGAAUAUUGGUCAAUGGGCGAGAGCCUGAACCAGCCAAGUAGCGUGAAGGAUGAAGGCUCUAUGGGUCGUAAACUUCUUUUAUAUGGGAAUAAAGUUUUCCACGUGUGGAAUUUUGUAUGUACCAUAUGAAUAAGGAUCGGCUAACUCCGUGCCAGCAGCCGCGGUAAUACGGAGGAUCCGAGCGUUAUCCGGAUUUAUUGGGUUUAAAGGGAGCGUAGGUGGAUUGUUAAGUCAGUUGUGAAAGUUUGCGGCUCAACCGUAAAAUUGCAGUUGAAACUGGCAGUCUUGAGUACAGUAGAGGUGGGCGGAAUUCGUGGUGUAGCGGUGAAAUGCUUAGAUAUCACGAAGAACUCCGAUUGCGAAGGCAGCUCACUAGACUGUCACUGACACUGAUGCUCGAAAGUGUGGGUAUCAAACAGGAUUAGAUACCCUGGUAGUCCACACAGUAAACGAUGAAUACUCGCUGUUUGCGAUAUACAGUAAGCGGCCAAGCGAAAGCAUUAAGUAUUCCACCUGGGGAGUACGCCGGCAACGGUGAAACUCAAAGGAAUUGACGGGGGCCCGCACAAGCGGAGGAACAUGUGGUUUAAUUCGAUGAUACGCGAGGAACCUUACCCGGGCUUAAAUUGCAACAGAAUAUAUUGGAAACAGUAUAGCCGUAAGGCUGUUGUGAAGGUGCUGCAUGGUUGUCGUCAGCUCGUGCCGUGAGGUGUCGGCUUAAGUGCCAUAACGAGCGCAACCCUUAUCUUUAGUUACUAACAGGUUCAUGCUGAGGACUCUAGAGAGACUGCCGUCGUAAGAUGUGAGGAAGGUGGGGAUGACGUCAAAUCAGCACGGCCCUUACGUCCGGGGCUACACACGUGUUACAAUGGGGGGUACAGAAGGCGGCUACCUGGUGACAGGAUGCUAAUCCCAAAAACCUCUCUCAGUUCGGAUCGAAGUCUGCAACCCGACUUCGUGAAGCUGGAUUCGCUAGUAAUCGCGCAUCAGCCAUGGCGCGGUGAAUACGUUCCCGGGCCUUGUACACACCGCCCGUCAAGCCAUGAAAGCCGGGGGUACCUGAAGUACGUAACCGCAAGGAGCGUCUAUAGGUAAACUGGUUC